CGGGCUUUUGAUACGCUUG
rnacentral:siRNA from 1 species